rnacentral:rRNA from 1 species
AUUGAACGCUGGCGGCAGGCCUAACACAUGCAAGUCGAACGGUAACAGGAAGAAGCUUGCUUCUUUGCUGACGAGUGGCGGACGGGUGAGUAAUGUCUGGGAAACUGCCUGAUGGAGGGGGAUAACUACUGGAAACGGUAGCUAAUACCGCAUAAUGUCGCAAGACCAAAGAGGGGGACCUUCGGGCCUCUUGCCAUCGGAUGUGCCCAGAUGGGAUUAGCUAGUAGGUGGGGUAACGGCUCACCUAAGCGACGAUCCCUAGCUGGUCUGAGAGGAUGACCAGCCACACUGGAACUGAGACACGGUCCAGACUCCUACGGGAGGCAGCAGUGGGGAAUAUUGCACAAUGGGCGCAAGCCUGAUGCAGCUAUGCCGCGUGUAUGAAGAAGGCCUUCGGGUUGUAAAGUACUUUCAGCGGGGAGGAAGGGAGUAAAGUUAAUACCUUUGCUCAUUGACGUUACCCGCAGAAGAAGCACCGGCUAACUCCGUG